rnacentral:rRNA from 1 species
GUCUUAUUGAGAAUUAUUUUAAGUCUAAUCUGCCCACUGAGGUUUUAAAUGGCCGCGGUAUUUUGACCGUGCAAAGGUAGCAUAAUCAUUAGUUUUUUAAUUGAAAGCUGGUAUGAAGGAUUGAAUGAGAAAAUAGCUGUCUCUUUAAUAAUUAUUGAAAUUUAUUUUUAAGUAAAAAAGCUUAAAUUAUAUUUAAAGACGAGAAGACCCUAUAGAGUUUUAUUUUUUAUUAUUUAAGUUUAUUUUAGUAUUAAAAUUAAAUUUAUAUGAUAAAAAUUUAAUUGGGGUGAUUAAAAAAUUAAUUAAACUUUUUUUAUUUGAAUUCAAUAAUUUUUGUUUGAAUGAUCCAUUUUUAGUGAUUAAAAGAUUAAAUUACCUUAGGGAUAACAGCGUAAUUUUUUUUGAAAGUUCUUAUUGAAAAAAAAGUUUGCGACCUCGAUGUUGGAUUAAAAUUAAUUUUUGGUGUAGAAGCUAAAAAUUUUAGUCUGUUCGACUAUUAAAAUUUUACA